rnacentral:tRNA from 1 species
AGAAAGAAGCAUAAGUGGUUUGAUAUGCGGCUGGCUUGAAACCAGUGUAUGGGGGUUCGAUUCCUU